rnacentral:rRNA from 1 species
CACGUAGGGUGCGAGCGUUGUCCGGAAUUAUUGGGCGUAAAGAGCUCGUAGGCGGUGUGUCGCGUCGGCCGUGAAAACCUGCAGCUUAACUGUGGGCUUGCGGUCGAUACGGGCAUCACUGGAGUUCGGCAGGGGAGACUGGAAUUCCCGGUGCAGUGGUGAUAUGCGUAGAUAUCAGGAGGAACACCGGUGGCGAAGGCGGCUACCUGGACAGAAACUGACGCUGAGGCGCGAAAGCUAGGGGAGCAAACAGG